CACUCACUCACACACACACACACUCUUACAGACACACGCUCACAGACAAACACACACUCACUCACACACACACACACUUACAGACACACACACUUACAGACACACACACACACUCACAGAGACACACACAUUCAUUCACAGACACACAUUUCCCCCAACACUCACAACUUAUUAUUAUUUUUUUUUAAUUUUAAUUUAAUUUCUCUCUGGGAGAGCUGGAGUGGAUUACUUACCUGCGCUCCAGUGGGGCUGCUGCGCGGGUAGGUAGGGGGCAGACAGGCAGAGUAGGCGGCGAGAGAGCUUUAAUCUUCCUGCUCAGCUCCCUUGCGCACCGCUUAGUGAUGCCAGGAGCUGGAGUGACGUCAUAUUCCAGCUCCCAGCUUCAUUAAGAAGAGCUCAGGUGAGCAUACUCCCUCGCUGCCCGAUGCGAUAAAAGUGGCCAGCUGGCCAGCUCUUGAGCCCCCCAGGACACAAGGCAAACAAGGCAUCUG